rnacentral:tRNA from 1 species
GCAGUGGUGGUUCAAUGGUAGAAUGAUCACCUUUCAUAAAGGAGACCCGGGUUCAAUUCCCGGCCAAUGCG